rnacentral:rRNA from 1 species
GAUGAACGCUGGCGGCGUGCCUAAUACAUGCAAGUCGAGCGAACAGACGAGGAGCUUGCUCCUCUGACGUUAGCGGCGGACGGGUGAGUAACACGUGGAUAACCUACCUAUAAGACUGGGAUAACUUCGGGAAACCGGAGCUAAUACCGGAUAAUAUAUUGAACCGCAUGGUUCAAUAGUGAAAGACGGUUUUGCUGUCACUUAUAGAUGGAUCCGCGCCGCAUUAACUAGUAGGUAAGGUAACGGCUUACCAAGGCAACGAUGCGUAGCCGACCUGAGAGGGUGAUCGGCCACACUGGAACUGAGACACGGUCCAGACUCCUACGGGAGGCAGCAGUAGGGAAUCUUCCGCAAUGGGCGAAAGCCUGACGGAGCAACGCCGCGUGAGUGAUGAAGGUCUUCGGAUCGUAAAACUCUGUUAUUAGGGAAGAACAAAUGUGUAAGUAACUAUGCACGUCUUGACGGUACCUAAUCAGAAAGCCACGGCUAACUACGUG